ACCGCUCUUGCGACUCCCAACCACUGACAGCCCGAAGGAGGAAGAACCCAGGGUUGGGUUCAUGCAGGAACAAGGGCAGGAGUGCAGGGACUGCCUCUGCCAGCCACUGGCCCAUGAGAGCCACACCGAGGUUCGAAGUCAGCCGGGCCAGAGGUUUGGGCGUCUUGGGCCACAGUGGCUUCCAUCCCCAGUCAUCACACACGAAUGGGCAAGGUCUUUCUGCCCAGGUCCCCACACCCAGCCCUUCCCGCCUUUGCCCACUGCUAACGAGACUGUCCAUCCAUCAGGCUGCACUUGCGCCAACUCUGCCCGCUGAGGUGGGUGGGCCAGGUCUGCACUGGGCUGCGUUGCCCUGAGGCACCUUCUCUGUGCCCUGCCAGCCAGUCUCUGCCUCCCGAGGGAAAGGUGUAGCUGGAAGAGUCAGCUCUUUGGGAGAGGAGACUGAGCUGGGGCUGGGGUUGAGGAGAUGGGUAAGGAUGGCAGAGGGGGCCGUGGCUACUGCUAACCCUGCAUGCCUGGGGCUGACCCUCCCUGGAGCGGCAGAGGCGGCUGUCGCCCUGCUGGGGGCUGGGAGCAGGGCUCUCUGCCAGACCCUCUCCUGGCCCCUGGAGGUUCUGGGUUGUAGUUUGAGGGAGCAGAGAGCUACCCCUCCCCCUGCCUUUGUCUGGUGUGGCUUGGAGAGGGGCCUUCCUCUCUCUAGAAAGCCCUCCGAGAGGCAUCCAGUUCCCUGGGGCUUAGGAUGGAAGCUGUUCGGGAGGACUGCCCAAGGUGGAAGUCCCACCCACCAUCCUGUAUGUCUGUCCUCUGAGGCCUGGAGCGGCUCAGAUUGCCCCAUCCUCACCCCUCAUCCACACCCCCUAUCCUCACCCCCAUCCUCACCGUAGGCCCUCAGCCCAGCUGUGUGUCAGCUGCUCCCUGUCCACUGAGUGUCCAAGGGCAACUCAGAAGUUCUCUGGUCUGCUUAACAGCCACCUCACCAGCCUCUCCCAGCCAUCACUUCUAAGCAGGUCUCUAACCCAGGGCCAGAGCCUAUUUUCUUGUAAGAAAGGUUUCAUUUUGGUGUAGGGCCUUCUCCUCAGCAGGUCCCUUUGUUCCCUGGCUCCCAGCACCCUGCCAGCAGCAUGUCCCCAUCCUCCCUCCUUCCUCAGCCACUGGUGGUGUGAACCUUCAGGCCAUGGAGCGAAGUCGGAUUCUCAUCUGCCUGAUGCAGAAAUUGAAACCUGGGGACUCUCUAAACAGCAGCCACGGACUCACUCACUCGUUAAACGGAAGAGGAAUCACAGAAGCUGGGGAAAGGAAAACAAACCUUCAAAGGAGAAAUUUCGUUUUAAUGACACCAUUAAUCAUUCGUUUUUUAAUUAGGAAAAGCUCCCUAAUGAGGCGUAAUCGGACUCUCAAUUUCCAUGAGAACUACUCUUGCCCAGGGGAUUAGGAGAGUCAUUGCUCACCAUGCCCAGCCUUUCCCCAGCGUCCAAUUUCAUUUGCAAAUAAUGCAGGUUCCCCAGGUGCCCGGAAGCCCUUUCCUGGCACCGGUCACGUUGCUCCCAGGGCUGGCUGGAAAGCACGGAUACUCCUCUGCCUUAAAAAACAGUGCCCAACGCUGAACUCUGCCCUCCCCACCCCCCAAGGAAGUGAGUGGAAAACAAAAAAACCAAGCAACAAUGCUUGUUUCUAAAUAUUUUUGUAUUGUGUACAUUCUGUAUAUUUUUGUUGUAACAUAUUAUUUGACCACAGAUUCCAUUAAAGAUUUUUUUU